GCUGAUAUGGCCGAGUCGUUAAGGCGAGUGAUUUGAACUGCGUUACCCAAACGCCGUCAAAUAUCACUUGGGCAUUGCCCGCGUAGGUUCAAAUCCUGCUGUCAGCG